AGUAUUUAAAGGAAUCCCAGAGGAACCUGGCCGGCUGUGUGAUGGGGAAACAAGAAAUAUUUACAGAAGGGGCGCAAAAAGAUGGAGAAAGAUUCACAUUGUUAAUGGCCAUUCUUUUGUGGCAAAGAGAUUUAGCAGGCUUGCGACAUGUUCGUUCUGUUCAGAUAGGAUAUGGGGUCUUGGACGACAGG